GACGAACGCUGGCGGCGUGCUUAACACAUGCAAGUCGUACGGUAAGGCCCUUUCGGGGGUACACGAGUGGCGAACGGGUGAGUAACACGUGAGUAACCUGCCCACAACUUUGGGAUAACGCUAGGAAACUGGUGCUAAUACUGGAUAUGUGCUCCUGCUGCAUGGUGGGGGUUGGAAAGCUCCGGCGGUUGUGGAUGGACUCGCGGCCUAUCAGCUUGUUGGUGGGGUAGUGGCCUACCAAGGCGGCGACGGGUAGCCGGCCUGAGAGGGUGACCGGCCACAUUGGGACUGAGAUACGGCCCAGACGCCUACGGGAGGCAGCAGUGGGGAAUAUUGCACAAUGGGCGCAAGCCUGAUGCAGCAACGCCGCGUGCGGGAUGACGGCCUUCGGGUUGUAAACCGCUUUCAGCAGGGACGAAGCUUUUUGUGACGGUACCCGCAGAAGAAGCACCGGCUAACUACGUG
rnacentral:rRNA from 1 species